AGUCUUGUAACACUGUGUGUGUUUUAAGACAAAGUGUAUCUCCUGGUUCUGAAAAGAAUGACAGAGAAGAGAUUUUAAAAGACAAUGUAUUUAAAUCUUUCAGCAAUCAGAAUCUGGUGUGGAAAAAGCUAAGUCAAGAUUCUUAUGAAAUACAGUAACUCUCAGUGCUCUAGAUAACUCGCUUAGCCCUCUCCAGAGCAUCACCGAUAACAGUUUAGAAAAGACAGAGUGAAAUACAGACUUUGUGAAGUUCAUGAUGUACAUGAAUUUAGCUUCACUGAUGUUCUCAUCAUACAGAGUUCAGUCACAUUUACUACUUAUGAAACUAGUUUGAUGAAUUCAAUUACUGAAGGAAGUCUGGUUUUAAUUCUUAGAACUACUACUUCUUUCAAUUUAAAUUGAUUAAUAAUAAAAGUUACAGCAUUUCAGAGGAACAGCAUAUAAAUUAAUUAUAAACUGAAGCCCUAGCCUAUGGCAAUAAGAUACAAAGCUCUCCUUCAUGUCAGCUCAGAUGCAGCUUUCAAGUGUACUCUAAAGGGUGCAGUGAAGUCCAGACUAGGAGAGAAACAGAAGGCAGCAGUGGCAAGAGACAAGCAAAGGAAGAAAAAUGUGCAAGAAAAAGAGACAGAACUGCAGAAGGUAGAAGUGUGGCUGACAGCCCUAGAAUCCCCCAGGAUAGCAGUGAGCAGUGAAGAGAAUUACCUUGUGGAAAAGACACAUCUGGCAGGAAAGAUGUCAGCCACAGGAGGUAAAGAAAAAUGCAGGCAGGAGGAGAAACAAGUGAGCCACUCUGUGGACAGGAGUGCCUUGGGAGUAACACAACAUGGGUAAGAUGGCCAAUGACUUACAAAUGUGCACGCAACCCCCAAAUUAAUAUAACAUUUGAUUACCCCUAUCAAUCCAAAAUAGUUUCCUUGGAUGCCAAUCCAAGUGAACACUCAAAUUACCUCUUCAGUCACUGAAAGGCAUGGUUCAAGAGCAAGCACCUUACACCCUCACACCCAAGGGUAUUAACCAGUCAUUACCUCACAUUUCCCUUGUUUCCCUAAUGGGCCCUGUUUCAUCUCCUUACAUAUUAAAAGCUGCUUCACAGCACAUCCACUCGAGCAAUCUGUAACAGUGCACUUAACCAGUCAGCAGGGAUACUGAAUAAUGAGCCCAUCUGUACCGUCCUCCCAACCCUGUCCUGAAAGCAUCGGUAAGCUCAAGGAGCAGUAUUUUCAAGGUACCUCCAUCUAACCAAAUUUCUAAGUAACAAAGGAGUACUCUUAUUGUUAGGGUGCUUCUAGUGCAAUAUAUAAAAUGAGAUUUUUAGUGUUCAGCAAAUAAAAAGUAUUUCACUCAUUUUGUGUCAGCAGACAACUAAUAAUAAAAUGUGUACUUACAAUAACACCAUUAUAAAAGAAUGAAAAUUCUAAUUCUUUCCUCUUCUGUGCAAAACACUUGGUAAUCCAUAUAUAGUUGCACUCAGAUUAGAACAAAAAGAUAAAAUAACAAUUUGGUGGAGAACUUUUUAAUAGAAGGGUCCAAGACUAGGGACCUUCUGAGUUCAGCAACGAAAAAAGAAAAAAUAAAGAUAAAAGCAUUCCUCUUAUACUGUAACACCUUCCUUUUCUCUGUUCCUGCAAAAGGAAAUGCAGUUCUUGUUCACACAGCAGGAGUAGCUAGAGCUUUAUACAAAUUCAAUGUGCAUGAGUGAAAUCUAUCUUCUGUUCUGGAUCGAGCCACAGGUCAAACAAAUUUCUGACCAACAGGAAAUAAUAAGCACAACCAUAUUUUCACUUGCCUCAGUUCCUGCUAGGAUCAAAGCCAAGGCUGUCAAUCUUCAUUUAUCUUUAGAUAUUUAAAAUAUUUUCAGUAUCAUUCUGGAUUUUUUAAGCAGUUGGCACUGAGCAAUAACUGAGACUGUCCUACCUUACUAAACUCUGGCAGUAUUUUUUCCCAUCAGAUACUAGUAUGGCAAUCCCCUUCACGUCUAAUUCUUUGACAGCAAUUCAGUUUUAGAUGGCUUAUAAUAGGCUCUGCCUGAAUUCUGCCUGGAUUGAAUUGUUAUUGAUUGGUUCAAGGCAAUGGUGUAGAAGGGUGCAUUUCCAUGGCUUGUAUUUGGAUGGGUCAGAUCUUUUGACAGCUGAUUUUGUUAGAAAACCUGGGGUCAUUGUGGGCACUGAUUAUUACACACUCUUGCAUUUUUUCCACCACUGCAAGCUCAGCUUCUUACUCUACAAAAGACCCAAGUAAUUUUCUUUCUAAGGUCUAUACAGGGGUUCUUUCUUACAUGACAUUAUAAUCAGUCUUUCUUUGUAUAUAACUUUGCUUCAUAUUACUCUGAAACAGCACAUUAAGUGUACAAAAAUGUAACAUCUACUGUUUUAGUUUUUGAUCAUAUUACCCUGCCUGGGCCAAAUCCAGCCAUCAGUGAAGCUAAUGAUACUAUCCCGCAGGAGUAAGACUGAACCUGCCAGUGACCUUUUAAUGCUGCUUUUUCACAGAAGUUCCCAUGUGCCAAAAAGAUCAGGUCAAGAACUCCAAAAAAAAAAACCCAAUUUUACUGUGCAGGCAGCAGCUUACUGUAUUUUUUGGCUUCUUUUCAUCUUCAGUAUCAGUAUUGUUCUCAUUUGUUUGAGGGACAUAUGGCUCUACCUAAUCAAAGUAAUGCCCCCAAACCUCCCUGGAUUGCACAAUCUUAGGUUUUCAAAACAAAGAAGGAAGGAGGGGGGAAGAAAGAAAGGGAAAAAAAACCCAAACCUCCCUCUACUAUUUGUCUAAAAGAAUACUGUUCUAUUUGAAAUCAAAGCUGUCACAGACCAGUUUUAACAUCACUGAGCUCCAAUUCUGUUGUUGUCAGUCUUGAUGUAGAAAACACUAGCAAUUAUCAAACACAGUCUGAGUAUAUCAGCUGGGAAUUUUAAUCAAUCCACUGUAACAGAGCUUAAGAAGAAGAAAUUGGUUGCAGGCAACAGAUGCCUGGCAAUAGUUUCCUACCUCACCACAGCCUACUAGGCCGAGUGAAGGUUUCUUAUAAGCAUAUAUUUCCCCCGUCACUGCAUAUUCAGCUUCUCACUCCACAAAAGAUGUACUUCUCUGUGCUGCUGCGUAAGUCAAACCCAUUCAUGUUCCAUUUCUAUAGUUUAAAAUGCCAAAAUACACCAGGUCAACAAAAAUUUAUCUUUUUUACUUUGAAAGAUGAAAUGAUGUAAUUAGUGACAUUACACUUAUUUUAUUACUGUUGCUUUGAUUUAAAUUGUUAGUGGUUCAAACAUCUUAAUUUCAGAGUGCAUUAUAUAAUUGUUUUUGUUGCUUGUUUAUCGAUAUUUUUGUAUAAUUAGGAUGCAGUAAUUUACUUUAUAUCUCUUUAGUUUAAUUGAGUUAAUAAAGUCUGCUGAGAAGCAUGAUGUUCCACUCCCAGCUACUUGGCUGGAAAGCAGGGAGAAGAGCUUUCACUGGACAUAAGAAUUUCAAAGGGCAACUUUUCUUCCAGACCUGUAACUCUGCCAAAGUUAGCUUUCUGUUGAAAUGACACAGAUGCUUCCACAUUUUUGGGCUUUUGUUACUGCCCUUGUGAUGGAUCAUAUUAAAAAAUCUUUCCUGA